UGAGUCUGUGCAUUAAAUACCACUCAAGAAAAGACGGCUCUCUGAUUAAGGAUGAGAGCAACAUUUGUCUGUGAUAUAAAUAGUUACAAGACAGUUGCUGCUACGGACAUUUAGCUAGACCCUAAUAUCCGAGUUCCCCUACUAGCGUCUGUAAUUUCCCACUAGUAGGGAAUUUUUGUCCAGAUUACCAAACAUGGCUUUCCUCCAUGGGAGCAAGUCUCAAAUUCAAUUGAUAAGGUGUUCAUCACACCUGUAACAAAAGUGCCCCUGCAACACUACUGGGAACAUUUUGCCUGGGAGUUAGCAAGUGUCAUUUGUUUUAAAAAAAAAUAUCUACCAUAUAAAAGAAAUUUUCCUAGAGGAUAAAAUAAGAGUCCUUUUUUUUUUUAAAGAUGUAUUCAUUUAUUUUAUAUAAGUACACUGUAGCUGUUCGGACACACCAGAAGAGGGCAUCAGAUCUCAUUACAGAUGGUUGUGAACCACCAUGUGGUUGCUGGGAUUUGAACUCAGGACCUCUGGAAGAGCAGUCAGUGCUCUUAACCACUGAGCCAUCUUGUCAGCCCAAUAAUAGAGUCCUUGAUGGAGUUCAUUUCACUGGCAAAGUGGAAAACAGGCAAUAAAAAAAAUAAUAAA
rnacentral:lncRNA from 1 species